rnacentral:misc_RNA from 1 species
GAAUGUUCAUUUCAAGAUAGUAACAAUGGAGAGAAAAAAACAAAGAAAGAGGGUUUAGUUAAACCCCUGAUUCAACCAAGGCCAGCAGGGGGUUUAUUAUCGAAAUACAAAGGUGUUCGUCAACGAAAAUGGGGGAAAUGGGCUGCUGAAAUUCGUGAUCCAUUUAAAGGCAGACGUGUUUGGUUGGGUACCUAUAAUACCGCUGUGGAGGCUUCUCGAGCUUACGAAUUGAAACGUCUUGAAUUUGAAACUAGGGCGAAGAUCAGUAGGACAAAUGUGUCUAAGCAGAGUUCUGGUUCAAUGGUCUCCGAGUACCAAAAUCAGAGCCAAAAUGUUGCUAGUGGUGUCUCAGAUGACUAUGCAGAAAGCUCGGUAUCACGUACUUCACACUCCUUGUCGUCAUCAUCAGUUCUUGAAUUGGACACUUUAACUUCUGUAUCCGCAUCUGCUCCAAUUUUAAGACUUAAUGGCCCAAACGAUAAUGAAAAGGUGAGCAAUGUUGCGCCU